GUCAAAAUAUGUCGAAUGUGUUAUGUUUACACUUUUGGUGUUCGACUGUUAUUGUUGUUUGAGACGGAAUUUAUUGAUUCAAUAUUUCAACAAUUAGUUUGAUCAAGUGAUCACCCAUUUUUUUCGAAUUCAGCUUUAAUUAUUGACAACACAAAGGAGGAUGACUACGAAUCUAAAUAUGAACGACAGUAGUGCCNCCAUGGAUGACAGUUCAAAGCGACGGAGCUCGCGUUCGAUAAAGCGUAGAAAAUUUGACGACGAAUUGGUUGAAUCGAGUUUGGGUGCAGGUUUUGGGUCACCUUUGCCAAAAACUCAACGCACACGUACCCAGUCGUUGAACAUGACGUCUACAGGUUCGGAAAUAGAUAAUGCCAUGUCACCAGUUCAUAGUGUUCCUGAAGCAGUACUUACUGCAAAUACUGGACCAUCUACUUCAACUACUCAACCACGGAAAAUUCCUUCAAACAGAACUCCUACAAAUACCAGUUCAGUAAAUAAUUUUGCUAGUGCACCAUCUACUUCAACUGUCUCAUCAUCAUCAAAUCGAAAUAGAUCAAGAAAGCAAAAGAAUUUAAAUAAAGAUUUGGGACGUUGGAAACCUACAGAUGAUUUAAUGUUAAUACAAAGUGUUUUGCAGACCAAUAAUUUACCAAUUGUCCAUAGAGGUGUUAAAUUUAGUUGUAGAUUUACACUUAAAGAAAUUGCUCAAAGAUGGUAUGCUUUAUUGUAUGAUCCAACAAUUUCUAGACUUGCUGUAUCAGCAAUGCGCAAUUUACAUCCAGAAAGUGUAGCCAAUAUAGAAGCCAAAGCUCUAUUUUCUAUUGCUGAAGAAGAACUCUUAGCUACCAUACAAUCAAACUCACAACCCACCAUUGAAACCUUCCAAGACUUACUCACUGAAAAUCCAAACAUAUUCCAUCGAAGACGCACGGCUAAAAGUCUUAUGUGUCAUUGGCAACAAAUGAAACGAUAUUCAUUGCUAUCAGAUCAGUGUAGUGCCUUAGAAAAUCCUAUUCCAAUACCAUUGAUGAGUGCACUAGAAGAUCGAAAUAUUCAUAUUCUAAACAAUGAACAAGAAGUUACCACAUUAACGUCAGAACAUAUUCCUACAUUUGCUGAAUGUGAAGACUUAUUAAAUGAUCAACAUUUAUUGAUGGAAAGGCCUGAUCCCAUACUUGAAAGACAUCUUGCUUUAACUAACAAAAAAAUAAAAAAGGAAAUCAAAGUUUUGGAAGAUGAAUUACCUAGAGCACAAGUAUUAGUGUUUCCAAUGACUGGUAUCAAUCCUGUGGAGUUUGAGCCUCAAACAUUAGCUGUGUUACGUGGUCGAUUGGUCAGAUAUUUGAUGAGGUCUAGGGAGAUAACUAUUGGACGUUCAUCAAAGUAUCAACAAGUUGACGUUGACUUGAAACUUGAAGGACCUGCUUGGAAAAUAUCUAGGCGACAAGCAACUAUACGUUUGCGUAAUACUGGUGACUUUCUAAUUGCUUGCGAAGGUAAAAAAUGUUUAUAUGUUGAUGGAAAACCUCUAACAGCUGGAAGUCGCUGCCGCCUCAAUCAUAAUUCUGUUUUGGAGAUUGCCGGAUUGAGAUUUCUUUUCCUCAUAAAUCAUCAAUUAAUAAAUACAUUUAAACAAGAAGCAUGCUCUCAAAAUCAGGUGCAAUUACCUGUACAAAUAGUUAACCAGACACCUCAGAAACAGAGUGCCAAUCAAAAAUCACAGAAGACUACAGUUACAAAAGCUGAAAAACCUGUGCAGACCAUUGAACAGCAACAGCAACAGAAAAAAUUAUUCGAAGAACAGCAAAAACAGAAAAUGGAAGAUCAUGAGAAAAGAAUUUUAGAAGAGCAGAGACAAAAAAUAUUGCAGCAGCAACAAGAUGAACUGGAACAGCAACUGAAAUUGUUAGAGGCCGAAGAAGUAGAACAUAACCAACGUCAACAAAAUAUGCUGUAAACUUUCCGAUUAAAUUAAUAUUUAUUUUGAAAAAAUUCUAUUUAUUGAUGCGAAUAUUUUUUUUUGUAUCAUUUAAUAUUAGAUAUUAUGCAAUUCCUGUGACGUAUAUUACUGUAAAUGAGACAAUAUUUACUUGUAUAUUUUAAUUUCAUGUUAAACUAGUUGAUUACACACUUUUGAUAUAUUUGUGUUACUGUGUUAGAUAUUCUUUCUCAUUUCAGUUGAUAAAUUAUGUUAAUUUUACCAACCAUAAAGUUGAUUUUUUUUUAAUCUUACAGUUAAUCAAAUUGUAAAACUCAGCAUGGAAUUGAGUCUCAGAACAAUCUUAUAUAUUUAUACAUAGGCGUGCACAGGGGGUAUGCAGGGUAUGCAGCUGCUUACCCUGAAGUUCUGUGAGGGGCGAACAUCGACUCUGGAAAAUUGAAACAUCCAGUUAUCAGUUAUCAACUACCAAGUAUUUGCAAAAUACAUACUUCUUGUAUCAUGUAACGGGCGCGCUUUGUCAGCCUUCUGCAUAUCCUGAAAAAGAGGCCUGCGCACGCCUAUGUAUAUAUACACACAAUAAAUUUCUACUACUAUGCUUGAACUAAAAAAUUGUCAUUGUGCAACUAUUAAAAUUGUAUUGCACAUGUUUGCUAUUCACAAGUACAAAAUUAAAUAUAUUUUUGAAUA
rnacentral:misc_RNA from 1 species